CUUUGGAUAGUGUGUUAAAGUCACAGCUGAAAGACCCCCAGAGCGGGGAGACCCUCACUCAAGUCUCAGGAUGACACGACCCCCCAAGAACUCAAUUAAAACU
rnacentral:pre_miRNA from 14 species